rnacentral:tRNA from 1 species
UGGGGAGUGGCCAAGCGGUAAGGCACCUGACUCUGGAUCAGGGGAUCGUUGGUUCGAAUCCAACCUCCCCAG